GACAGAGGCCCCAAGCGUUAAGCGGAAUCACUGGGCUUAAAGCGUGUGUAGGCGGAUCGUUAAGUGUCUUGUGAAAUCCCACGGCUCACCCGUGGAACUGCUGGGCAUACUGGCGAUCUUGGGCCAACUAGGGGCAGUCGGAACAAGCGGUGGAGCGGUGAAAUGCGUAGAUAUCUGGAGGAACACCGGUGGCGAAGGCGGCAUCCUGGACCAAUAUUGACGCUGAGGAGCGAAAGCUAGGGGAGCAAACGGG
rnacentral:rRNA from 1 species